CCUACGGGGGGCUGCAGUGGGGAAUAUUGGACAAUGGGGGAAACCCUGAUCCAGCCAUGCCGCGUGUGUGAAGAAGGCCCUCGGGUUGUAAAGCACUUUCAGUGAGGAAGAACGCCUGGUGGUUAAUACCCAUCAGGAAAGACAUCACUCACAGAAGAAGCACCGGCUAACUCCGUGCCAGCAGCCGCGGUAAUACGGAGGGUGCGAGCGUUAAUCGGAAUUACUGGGCGUAAAGCGCGCGUAGGUGGCUUGAUAAGCCGGUUGUGAAAGCCCCGGGCUCAACCUGGGAACGGCAUCCGGAACUGUCAAGCUAGAGUGCAGGAGAGGAAGGUAGAAUUCCCGGUGUAGCGGUGAAAUGCGUAGAGAUCGGGAGGAAUACCAGUGGCGAAGGCGGCCUUCUGGACUGACACUGACACUGAGGUGCGAAAGCGUGGGUAGCAAACAGGAUUAGAUACCCUUGUAGUC
rnacentral:rRNA from 1 species